rnacentral:rRNA from 1 species
GACGAACGCUGGCGGCGUGCCUAAUACAUGCAAGUUGAUCGCUGAAGGUUGGUACUUGUACCAACUGGAUGAGCAGCGAACGGGUGAGUAACGCGUGGGGAAUCUGCCUUUGAGCGGGGGACAACAUUUGGAAACGAAUGCUAAUACCGCAUAAAAACUUUAAACACAAGUUUUAAGUUUGAAAGAUGCAAUUGCAUCACUCAAAGAUGAUCCCGCGUUGUAUUAGCUAGUUGGUGAGGUAAAGGCUCACCAAGGCGAUGAUACAUAGCCGACCUCAGAGGGUGAUCGGCCACAUUGGGACUGAGACACGGCCCAAACUCCUACGGGAGGCAGCAGUAGGGAAUCUUCGGCAAUGGACGAAAGUCUGACCGAGCAACGCCGCGUGAGUGAAGAAGGUUUUCGGAUCGUAAAACUCUGUUGGUAGAGAAGAACGUUGGUGAGAGUGGAAAGCUCAUCAAGUGACGGUAACUACCCAGAAAGGGACGGCUAACUACGUG